UGUGGACAGCAUCCCUCAGACUCGCAA
rnacentral:piRNA from 1 species